AUUACAAAUAGAUGCUAAAAAAAAAUUUAGAGCAACUCUAUAAAAAUUUUCUUAGUUCGGAUUGUUAGGCUGCAAUUCGCCAACAUGAAGUCGGAAUCAUAAGUAAUCGUAAAUAAGUACGUUACGGUGAAUUUUGCCUUGACCUUGCACUCACCGCCUGUCAAGCCGAGCGAGUUUGCGUUUUCCGAAGACUAAAAUUUAAUGGAUAGAGAGUUAUCUCGCCGGUAAAUUUUUUUUGAAGAAAAAACAAGCAAGAAUGGUUAAGUCAUAACAAGGUAGUGGUUCGGGAACGAGCUGCUGGAA
rnacentral:rRNA from 1 species